rnacentral:rRNA from 1 species
GAUGAACGCUAGCGGCAGGCCUAAUACAUGCAAGUCGAACGGUGUAGCAAUACACAGUGGCGCACGGGUGCGUAACACGUAUGCAACCUACCUAUUAUUGGGGGAUAGCCUUUGGAAACGGAGAUUAAUACCGCAUAAUACGAUUGACUGGCAUCAGUUGAUUGUUAAAGCUUCGGCGAUAAUAGAUGGGCAUGCGUCCAAUUAGUUAGUUGGUGAGGUAACGGCUCACCAAGACGAUGAUUGGUUGGGGAUCUGAGAGGAUAAUCCCCCACACUGGCACUGAGAUACGGGCCAGACUCCUACGGGAGGCAGCAGUAGGGAAUAUUGGGCAAUGGGCGAAAGCCUGACCCAGCCAUGCCGCGUGCAGGAUGAAGGCGUUAUGCGUUGUAAACUGCUUUUUUAUAGGAAGAAGGAGGCCUUGCGAGGCUUGGUGACGGUACUAUAAGAAUAAGCACCGGCUAACUCCGUGCCAGCCGCCGCCGUAAAAC